AUUGAACGCUGGCGGCAGGCCUAACACAUGCAAGUCGAGCGGAUGAAGAGAGCUUGCUCUCUGAUUUAGCGGCGGACGGGUGAGUAAUGCCUAGGAAUCUGCCUGGUAGUGGGGGAUAACGUUCCGAAAGGAACGCUAAUACCGCAUACGUCCUACGGGAGAAAGCAGGGGACCUUCGGGCCUUGCGCUAUCAGAUGAGCCUAGGUCGGAUUAGCUAGUUGGUGGGGUAAUGGCUCACCAAGGCGACGAUCCGUAACUGGUCUGAGAGGAUGAUCAGUCACACUGGAACUGAGACACGGUCCAGACUCCUACGGGAGGCAGCAGUGGGGAAUAUUGGACAAUGGGCGAAAGCCUGAUCCAGCCAUGCCGCGUGUGUGAAGAAGGUCUUCGGAUUGUAAAGCACUUUAAGUUGGGAGGAAGGGCAGUAAGCUAAUACCUUGCUGUUUUGACGUUACCGACAGAAUAAGCACCGGCUAACUCUGUGCCAGCCGCCGCGGUAAAAC
rnacentral:rRNA from 1 species